UACAGAGGUCCCGAGCGUUGUUCGGAUUCACUGGGCGUAAAGGGUGCGUAGGUGGUUGGGUAAGUCUGAUGUGAAAUCUCCGGGCUCAACCCGGAAAUGGCAUUGGAUACUAUUCGGCUAGAGGUUUGGAGGGGGACUGGAAUUCUCGGUGUAGCAGUGAAAUGCGUAGAUAUCGGAAGGAACGCCGGUGGCGAAAGCGACGCGCUGGACCUCUUCUGACGCUGAGGCGCGAAAGCCAGGGGAGCAAACGGG
rnacentral:rRNA from 1 species